ACGGAAGGCAGCAGUGGGGAAUAUUGCACAAUGGGGGAAACCCUGAUGCAGCGACGCCGCGUGAAGGAAGAAGUAUCUCGGUAUGUAAACUUCUAUCAGCAGGGAAGAAAAUGACGGUACCUGACUAAGAAGCACCGGCUAAAUACGUGCCAGCAGCCGCGGUAAUACGUAUGGUGCAAGCGUUAUCCGGAUUUACUGGGUGUAAAGGGAGCGCAGGCGGUACGGCAAGUCUGAUGUGAAAGCCCGGGGCUCAACCCCGGUACUGCAUUGGAAACUGUCGAACUAGAGUGUCGGAGGGGUAAGUGGAAUUCCUAGUGUAGCGGUGAAAUGCGUAGAUAUUAGGAGGAACACCAGUGGCGAAGGCGGCUUACUGGACGAUAACUGACGCUGAGGCUCGAAAGCGUGGGGAGCAAACAGGAUUAGAUACCCUGGUA
rnacentral:rRNA from 1 species